UUAUUUUAGAAAAUUACAACAGAACCCCAAUUUCUAAUUGCAAACAGCGGCUUAAAACUUUUCAAAUUACAACAUGACCCCCAUCUCCCUUCUUCAGCCCAAUUUCACAGAUUUUUUUUUUUUUUUUUGCUCGCUGCCGGCGCCGAGAGAAUGCGAGAAGCCACGAUGGGAGACAAUCAUCUAUGCAAAAAAUCGACAGCAAAAAUGGCAGUGAUUCAGUUGCCUCACACAAAUUCAACAACAAUUUAUUUCCCAAUCAACUCAUCAAAAGGAAAAGAAAAAAGAGGAAAGCCGACAACAACAAUAUAUAAAAAGGAGAGAAAGAAUCGAUAGCCUAGUUAAUAGCCAACUCCCCCUUUGCCGGUAGCGAUCUCGUUCCUUCUAUACCAAGCAUAUUAUGCAACACACAAUUCAUCAAUUUCACAUAAUUGCAUUAAAUUAACGUGUGAAAAUGGCAACUUUGGGGCCCAAAUUGGAUCCAAAGCUUCCUAUGUCGACGGUAAGGGACGGGAAAGGUCCAGAAGGCAUUGAUUCUAGUUGGGCUGCAGUGGUAAGGGCCAUAUGGUGAAGAUGGAUUUUGCAGAUUAGGGAAAGGCCAUGGGUGAUUUUUGAUUUCUUUUCUUAUAUUUAUACAAUGAAUG
rnacentral:lncRNA from 1 species